rnacentral:rRNA from 1 species
UUGACUCUUACAAUAUUAACAUUGUGAAGGAAAAAUCUUGGGAGAGUUACAGCGCUUCGCUAUAGUGAAAUAAAAUGCUAGUUAUUUUGAAGCGAACUAAAAAUUGUGAGAAGAACAGGAGGAUUUGAAAAGAUUUUUCAAAAGUUCGAAAGAUUACAUGAUUAAUGUAAAUUUUGGAUUUCCUCGCUGGUUAAUCUUAAUUCAUUACAACUACUGGUAGCAUGAUGAAUCAUCAGGAAUUUAUGCCAGUACUCUGUUAGAAGUUGGUGAAGUGAUUAAUUUUCAAUGAGAUUAAAGCAUAAUUUGUCUUGUGCAAAGGAGAUUAUAAUUUGCUGGCUUGUCAUUUUAAUCUUUAAUCAUAUUUUCGCAAAGGGAUUAAAAUGGUGGAUUUUUCUAGGGGAUUUUUCGGCAUGUUUUUGUAUUUUUCGAUGUUUAAAAAAAAAAAAAAAAAAAAUUUCACUUGAUUGAAAUGACAAGCUAUACGUUGUAUUUGAUUAAUUAGUUAAAAAAAUAUCUGGUUGAUCCUGC